rnacentral:rRNA from 1 species
AUAUUGGUCAAUGGGCGGGAGCCUGAACCAGCCAAGUCGCGUGAGGGGAGACGGUCCUACUGAUUGUAAACCUCUUUUGCCGGGGAGCAACGGGGUCCUUGCGAGGGCCCGAUGAGAGUACCCGGAGAAAAAGCAUCGGCUAACUCCGUGCCAGCAGCCGCGGUAAUACGGAGGAUGCGAGCGUUAUCCGGAUUUAUUGGGUUCAAAGGGUGCGUAGGCGGGCUGUUAAGUCAGCGGUCAAAUGUCGGGGCUCAACCCCGGCCUGCCGUUGAAACUGGCGGCCUCGAGUGGGCGAGGAGUAUGCGGAAUGCGUGGUGUAGCGGUGGAAUGCAUAGAUAUCACGCAGAACUCCGAUUGCGAAGGCAGCAUACCGGCGCCCGACUGACGCUGAGGCACGAAAGCGUGGGUAUCGAACAGG